rnacentral:piRNA from 1 species
UCCCAAGGCAGGUGGGUACGGGGUC